UGGACUCAUCAUACCUGAGGAC
rnacentral:siRNA from 1 species